rnacentral:tRNA from 1 species
GAGAGAGGCACCGAAGCAACGGAAACUGCUAAUUUUCGUAACCUUGGUUAAAACCCAAGGCUCACUCG